GGAAAAUGCCAUAUGAAGACGCAAAGACACAUAGACACAGAGGGAAGACAGCCGUGUGAUGAUGCAUACACAUUGGAGUUAUGCUGCCACAAGCCAAGGAAUGCCUGGGGGUAUAAGAGCCAAAGGCAACUUUUUGGAGAGCAAAUAGUAUGCCACCUGCCUGUUCAAAUGUGCAAUGGUUUUCCGAAGUUCUCAAAGUAAAGCCUGAAAUCCCCAACUUGGCCUAGAAGUCCGGAAUACUUCUGAAACAAACUCUUCCUUCCUGUCCUCUGCCUGUAGCAGAAAAUAGACAAGCCAAGCAGAUGUCCAGAGAUGGCGGAGGAGUACCUCGGCUGCAGCUUCCUUGAGAGAAAACAAACUCAAGGGAGCCUUGGGGGCUGGGGGUGAGAGUGCCGGGGCGGAGCUGGGGGGAGAAGGAAGGUGGCACAGUAUUGUAAUCAGGUUCCCUACUCACUCAAGCUGAGUGCCCGUUGCCUUCUUUCUUUCCCUCCCUCUCCCUUUGUCUCUUUUGAACUUACUGUGAAACAAGUGAACUAUAUAUGGCCAGGGAAAUCUCCAGCAGUCCCAGUAUUUUUAAACUCUUGUAGUCUCCUGUUUGCACACUCAUGUGACGUAGAGGAACUAGAUCCAGAGAGUUUCUCAUGGGAAUCCGGGAUGCUUCGGCAUAACUGCUGGCUUUGGUUGCAUGUGUUUUUGCCCCUUGUUAAAGCAGUCCUUGGGGUUUCAUUUCACAUCCAAAAGACCUGGGAAGCAGCAGAUUCUGUGAGUGCACUAAGAAUGUACCGGGGAGGCUGUGUUCAGGGUGCCUGUCCAGGAUCGUCAUCGAGGGCCUAAGAAACUUUCAGCCUGUGUAGCUGGCCUGGCUCAGACUGGAGGGUGAACUGCUGGGCAUCUUAAUGCAAACUGGAGGGCAUUAGCAAGGAAGAAUUAUUCUCAGAACAUUCCGCGAGCCCUUCACUGAUGAAUUCCUCAUCGUUGUUGGGUUUUGUUUUGUUCUGUUUUGCUGUUCUUGUGCAUUAUCCAAUUUUACUCAAGCUAUUUUAUUAAUAUGUGCCCCAAUCCCCGCCUUCAGCGUGUGUUUCCAGUGACUGUUUAUUUCUCUUUCAGUUCCUCUUGCAGACGUCCUUUUCACCACUGAAAACAUGUUUCAAAAUGUCCUUGAAUCGAAAAUAUUUUAUUUUAUAAGAAAUAUAUUUUCAAGCAGUUUAUUCACGAGAGUGAUAUAUUUGAGGAUUAAACGAAAAUAGGGGAACAACUCACAUAGUUACUGAGUGGAAAAAAUUACCUUUAAAACAGGAUGGAAAAUGAAAUAGUGACUGUGGGUGUAGUUUCUUGUAGGAACACUAAGUGUAGUUAGCUGUCUAGGUCAUGCACCACAUAACUCUCGGUGCCACCACUCAUAAUAUAGAUUUAAUUUAAUAUGAUGAUUUCCUGUCAUAUAUUAGUGAAAUGUCUUGAAGGAAGGGUCCCUUUUGUACAAAGGGGCCAUAUGGAUUAUUAGUAAUCACUCUUUUUGAGGAUAGGAAUGAAUCUUACCCGCUUUUUUUUUCCUGUUGCAAUUUACCUGUUAUAAUCACUACUAUUUACAGAGAGCUAACUUUCUAUCAGACACUAGUAUUAACAAUGUUAUGCUGGUAAUAGAGUUGGGAAAAAAAAAAGAGGCCCUGACUUGCAGUGCUUGCCAAUUUCCAUAGUGUAAAUAUUCCCACCAUAGCCAUGUUCAGGCUACCAAAGUUCUUGAAAGCUAAGUGUAGUGUUGAGUAGGGAUGAUCACAAUUGGCUUUCCUGAGCCAGUAUGAGUUGGCUGCAACAAAACUACUGGUUCUAUAAUAAGUAUUAACAGGCAUUAAUUGCUUUAAAUAUUAACAAGUUUUAUUUGCUCUAUAAAAUGAUAUUAUUAUUAUUCACCAUCAUACAGAUAUGGAAACUGAGGCAAUGAAAAGUUAUGUUACUUUGCAUAAGGUGACAGAACCAGUAAGCAGUGGAGCCAAGCUUUCAGCCCAGGCUGCCUAACUCCAGAGCCCAUGCACAUAAUCCCUAGACCAUGCUGGAAGCAAUAGUGCAGGUGUCAGCAAAUGAUUUCUACAUGAGGGCAUCUUGAUGUCAAGAAGUGUAGUAACUGCUUUAAGUAUUGUAUCAGUUAGGGUUCCACCAGAGAAACAGAACUAGUAAUCAAUAUACAUAGCUAAUAUGAAUAUAUAAUAAAUUCAUAUUAUAUAUUUUUAAUAACAUAUAUAUUUAGAAAUAAUGUAAAUAUAUAUGGAUAUAUGUUGAUUUAUUGCAAGGAACUGGCUUACGUGAUUGUGGCAGCUGGCUACAAAAGUCUGAAAUCUGUACAGCAGGCCCUCAGGAAGGGCCGACAGAAACUCUCGAGCAGGGGCUGACACUGCCGUCCACAAGUAGAAUCUCUUCCUCAAGGAAGCCUAAGUUCUGUUCUUAAAGCUUUUCAAUUACUUGAAUCAGGCCAACACAGAUUAUCCAGGACAAUCUUUCUUACACAAACCAAACUAUUAUAGACUUUAACAACACCUACCUUCACAGCAACAUCUAUAUUAGUGUUUGAUUGAAUAACUGGAGCCUAUAGCCUGAAUAAGUUGACUCAUAAAGUGUUGAGUUGAAUUGCAUUGCCCAAAAAUUUAUGUUGAAAUCUUAAUCUCUGGUAUCUGUGAAUGUGACUUUAAUUGGAAAUAGGGUCUUUGCAGAUGAAAUGAAGGUAAGGUGAGGUCAUACUAGAGUAGGGUGAGACCUGAAUUGAGUGUGACUGGUAUCCUUAUGAGAAGAAAAGGGAAAUGUAGACACAGACAUACAGGUAGAAUGCUGUGGAAAUGGAGGCAGAGAUUGGAGUGAUGCAUCUCCAAGCCAAGAAACGACAAGAAUUGGUGGAAGCCACCAGAAGGCAUGUAGAGGCAAGGAAGCCUCCUUCCCUAGAGCCUUCAGAGGGAGCAAGGGCCUGCCAACACCUUGAUUUGGGGCUUCUUGCAUCCAGAACUGUGAAACAAUAAAUUUCUGUUGGUUUAAGCUACCCAGUUUGUGAUCCUUUGUCAUGGCAGUCCUAGGAAUUAAUACUACAGGGAUCUUAAAAAUAACACUGUGAUAAUAAAUAAUGUCUACUUCACCAACAUCUAGGACAUGACUUUUACUAAAAACAAAGACUAUGCUUACCACAAUUUUCUUGUGACACUCUCAGUAGUGGCAUGUUGGUGGGCCCUUUCAAGUCAGAGGUGUAUCUAUAAACUAAUUGCUUUUAUUUGAUUCAACACAUGCAGGAACGUAUACACAUCCUUACUGAAAUAGUCACUGGAAGAAAUAAUUGACUUAAAGCAGUGGGGUUGCUAUUAUAAAAUCAACUUUAGUAGCGCAUUGAAAUAAAUAUGUACGAAUAAAUGAGCGAGGAAUAAAUGUGUUCAUUGCUUC
rnacentral:lncRNA from 1 species